ACGUAGGUGGCAAGCGUUAUCCGGAAUUACUGGGCGUAAAGGGCGUGUAGGCGGGAAGACAAGUCAGGAGUGAAAUCCCAGGGCUUAACCCUGGAGCUGCUUCUGAAACUGUUUUUCUUGAGUAUCGGAGAGGAAAGUGGAAUUCCCAGUGUAGCGGUGAAAUGCGUAGAGAUUGGGAGGAACACCAGUGGCGAAGGCGGCUUUCUGGACGAUUACUGACGCUGAGGCGCGAAAGCGUGGGGAGCAAACAGGAUUAGAUACCCUGGUAGUCCACGCUGUAAACGAUGGAUACUAGGUGUGGGGGGUAUCGACCCCUCCCGUGCCGCAGUUAACACAAUAAGUAUCCCGCCUGGGGAGUACGGCCGCAAGGUUG
rnacentral:rRNA from 1 species